GCAGCCGCGGUAAUUCCAGCUCCAAUAGCGUAUAUUAAAGUUGUUGCAGUUAAAAAGCUCGUAGUUGAACUUCGGGGUUCACCCAUUGGUCAGGCUUAAUUGUCUGCACUGGUGAGAUGAGUCUCUACCUUCUGAGGAACUUUCAUGCCAUUUAUUUGGUGUGGUUGGAAAUCAGGACUGUUACUUUGAAAAAAUUAGAGUGUUUAAAGCAGGCUAACGUCUGAAUACAUUAGCAUGGAAUAAUGAAAUAGGACGGACUGAUUCUAUUUCGUUGGUUUCUAGGAUCACCGUAAUGAUUAAUAGGGAUAGUUGGGGGCAUUAGUAUUCAAUUGUCAGAGGUGAAAUUCUUGGAUUUAUUGAAGACUAACUACUGCGAAAGCAUUUGCCAAGGAUGUUUUCAUUAAUCAAGAACGAAAGUUAGGGGAUCGAAGACGAUCAGAUACCGUCGUAGUCUUAACCAUAAACUAUGCCGACUAGGGAUCGGACGAAGUUAAUUUUAUAAUGACGCGUUCGGCACCUUACGGG
rnacentral:rRNA from 1 species